UCCAAGGCUUGUUGAUGCAAAGAAUAAAGCUCCCUUGCUGAAUCUUUUUGGGGACUGGUGCCCAAGAAUUGUCCUAGUUUCUCUCCUAGUUUGAGUGAUCAGAGGUUCUAGCUUCCCCUUUCUCGGAUUGAUUGAUCCUUAGCUGACCUGGGAAGAGUCUCAGACUCACUGAAAUCCAGCACACCUUUGUGAAAGCUCAGCAGAGAGAAGUUGUGAUUUGCUCCAAAUUUUGCUGCUGGAAAAUAGGGUUCCACUCUUAUAUGCAUGUACACAAAGGAUUACUUUGAUGACAGACCGAUGACAUGUGAACAGAAGAGACACGUUACUUCUAAGUUACGGCUUUAGUUGCAUUUAGUUGUGCUAUUUAACUCUCCAGCCUUCUGCCCUCUUGUUGUCAUGAUCAGGAAAGCCACCUGUUCUGGGUGGCACUGCUACAAGAUGGCAGAGCUCCUGUCAGCCAGGGUGACUGCAUGAUGGCUACAGAGCCCUAAACAACCCAAGUUGGACGUGAAUGCAGAGUAUGAAAAGCUCAUGGAUAUGAUUUCAGAUUCUGCGUUGCAACUAACCUUGAAGAAACUAUCACCUGUUGCGUUUGACUAAUGGAUCAAAAAAAGAAAUUCACAAAUAUCUGAAAAACCUAUUAAAAUGCUUCUCCCUUUUCCCACUACAUAUCAGCAUGAGGCUGAAUUUUCUUCAUGUGAUUCCAUCAAAACAACAUACUGCAACACAUUAUGGAAGCAGCAGGAGCUCUAGAGAAAGAUCUCGAAAGGAACUGGCAUUCUUCGAAAGCAACUCCAUCACUUUCCACGGUCAAACCUCUGCUCCUUGUUGGGAUGGCCUUACUCAUAACCAGAUUCACUGUCUAAAAUACUGAAGACCUGGGCUUCCCUGGUGGCGCAGUGGUUGAGAAUCUGCCUGCCAAUGCAGGGGACACGGGUUCGAGCCCUGGUCCGGGAAGAUCCCACAUGCCGCGGAGCAACUGGGCCCGUGAGCCACAACUACUGAGCCUGCGCGUCUGGAGCCUGUGCUCCGCAACAAGAGAGGCCACGAUAAUGAGAGGCCCGCACACCGCGAUGAAGAGUGGCCCCCGCUCGCUGCAACUAGAGAAAGCCUUCGUGUAGAAACAAAGACCCAACACAGCCAUAAAUAAAUAAAUAAAGCAAACUGUCAACAAGCAAAAAUAAAAUAAACAGUAAAAUACUGAAGACGUGGUUAGCCUUCUCGAAACAUGCCUGCUUCCCUGCACUUUCUCUUCUUUAUAAGAGUACCACCAACUUGCUUAAUUUCCCAGCCCUAAAACCUCAAAGGCAUUUGUGUCUUGUCUCUCUCACUCGUUGCUCCGCCCCAGACAAUUCUCCCUUCCCAGUGUUUUGCUUCUCCGCCUUUCUUUCAACUCCUACUGCCACCCACCCAGUUCAGGACUUUGUCAAUGCAGACCUGGCCCUUGGGAAAAAAUGUGUUAAUUUUUCUGCUUGUUGUCACUCUCUCCUCUUUAAGCUCAUUCUGAUGAAUGAUGGAAACUUUUAGAGUUAAAACAUUUCAAUCCAUUACUGUCUUUUUAAAAAGUUUUGAAUCUGUUCCUAUUGCCUAAAGGAUAAAUUCCUUUGAAGUUCCUCCAUUCAAUGUCAUUCAAUGUCAUCCCCAGUUAGGGCUAACCUGUUUUUCAAGCAUUAUCUCCCACCACCACCUUAUCUGACCUUCUUCUGCAAUCUGGCUGCUUUAUUCACUGUCAGAAAAACAUCCUUUGUAUGUUCUCACCUUUGCACUCUUACUCUUGGCAUCCCCUAAUCGAUGUACCUUUCACAUUCUUUAAUACAUUCUAACUCGCAUCAAAAAUCUUCUGUAAAGCUUUCUCUGGGCAUCUCAGUUUGAAAUGUCAUCCCUCCCCUAAGCUCCUAUACCAGGUAAUGUUUGUGUAAUUUACUCAUGAAAUUUCUCCUUAGAUUAAACUGAGAUUCUUUAUAUUGACGUUUUAAUUCUUGUUCCCUUGCCAAGUAUCUCAUGCCACAUACUUAGUAAGGGCUCUGAUAAAAAUAAUUUUGGAAUUAUGUUCAUAGGGAGAAUUAAAUAUCAGAAGAAUUUCAGAUGAAAGACCAUGUUUAAGUUUGAGAAACUGGCAUUUUCUAAACAUCAUAUAGGCUUCUGUUUUAUGUGAUGGCUUUUCCAUGAAAUGUUCCCCUUCUCCUUCUGCAACAAGACUGGAAUCAGAGAGAGCUUAUUAAUAAAUUGUUUUUUUUCCCCUCUACUCUAAUAAAAGUGAAAAAAGUUGGUGGAUUUCCUAUGGAAUAUUCUUCCAUUGUUUUCCCUGACACUCUAUGCAAAUGAAAGGACUGAAAGCUAAAUAUUAUGUUUUGUUUACCUGUAGAGACAGAAUUUAGAAAGAAAAAAACCUGGAGACUAGACACAAAGCCAAUGGCCAAUCCCAAAUUUGAACCCAGAUUUUCUGAAUCCCAGAGCAUCCUGUAUUCUACCUCACCCCUUCUCAUCUGGAGGAAAGAAAUACUACUCUAUCUAACUGAUGAUUGACGGAUCAUCUAAAUUCAUCUUAUAGACAUAUUCCUUUUUGGACUUUUGAUUGUAAUCCUGCAACAUUAAUCUUUUGCAGUCAGUUUGCAGUUUA